GAAGAUAUGAGCAGCUAUCAGUUGGGAUAUUUGGGACCUUCUUCAAAGCACUUAAAAAAAAAUUUUCUUUGAAGUCACGCUACAGUACAGAUAGAAGGUUCUGAACUUUUAGUGUCAAAUUUAUCAACUCUUAUUAGCAUAACAGCUGAAACAACUGUUGUAAAGAAGGAAAAUAAAAUAGCAGAAUUGUGAAGAAAAUCAUUAAAGAAGGUCAAGGUGCCGAUGAUGAAAUCAGAAGACCUAAAGGUUAGCCCUUGGUGGCCCUGGCCUUCUCCAGUCAUCUCUACUCUUGGCAACUGUUUUCCAGUUUUUAACCCUUUAACUAUUAAGAUCUUUUUUCGACUAGCUGGUGUCUGCCCUUAGGUCUAUUUCCCGUAGGCUUUGCCAGAAAGAUUUUCUUACAGCAACGAUCUUCAUUCUUUCAAGCCAGAUGGCCAGCCCAUUCUCUGAAAUUUGACGAAUUUUACAAUAUCAGGUUGUUUGUAUAUUUUAUAGAGUUCUAAAUUAGAUCUUCUUCUCCAUGAUCCAUUCACUUGGACCCCACCAAGAAUGCAACGCAAGAUCUUUCGGUCAAAAAUUCCCAGAGCUUCCUCAUCCGUAAAGUCAAUGCCCGAGUCUCUGAUGCAUAAGUCAAGACAGAUAUUAUAAGACUUUUGUAAAGAAGGAAUUUAGUUCUCAAUUUAAGAAAGCCGGAUUUCAGAUAACUCUUCAGAUCAUAAAAACAUCUAUUUGCAGCAAUAAUUCUUUUAUAUAUUUCUGAGGCCAACACAUUUUAAUAAUUUAUCUCUGUUCCCAAAUAAGUAAAACUGUUAACAAUCAUUUCAUUCGGGCGAAAUAUUUACUGCAAACCUCAACCGUAGGCGACCCGAUGAAAUAAACUUAAAAUGACUUGAAUAGUUACAGCUUUUCUUUAUUAAAUAAGUGCACAAAUCCCCUCUGGCUUUGCUAUUUGUAACAGCUCAUUGAUCAUCCACGCACUAGAUGAUCCUGGUCUUCCAAGGAAGUUGUCACAGAGAAGUGACACUCAGUACCAAUGUUUACUUAUGUUCUUAAAAAACAGUGCUAACUUCAGGGAUGGUACUCUAAAGGAGGUGGUUGCUGUAAGACUUUUCAUUAUAUAAGAUUUUAUGCUGUAUAACUUACUUUCUAGGAGACUAAUGCUAAAAUAUUAAGCUUAUCGUAACUAAUUCAGCUUAGAAUUCAUUCAGGCGUUAAACUGAAACUAUAUAUCAAGAUCAGAUGGUAUUUUUUUUUAAACUUAUGGUUUUUAUGCUUUUCAAAUAUUAAAAUAUUUUUUAACUUUUUAAAACUUGAAUGGUAACUUCUUCGAGAUAUUAGACUGCUAUCUGAACUUUUCAG